AUGUGUGCUGUGCUUAGUUGCUCAGUCAUGUCUGACUCUGCAACCCCUUGUACUGUAGCCUGCCAGGCUCAUCUGUCCAUGGGAUUCUCCAGGCCAGAAUACUGGAGUGGGUUGCCAUGCCUUCCUCCAGGGGGUCUCCCCAACCCAGGGAUUGAACUCAGGUCUCCCAGGUUGCAGGUGGAUUCUUCACCAUCUGAGGCACCAGAGAUCGUUGAAGGCCACGUUGUCAAUGUGAAGUUGGCCCGGCGUGUUCUGACCACAGGAGUGGUAGCCAUCAAGGCCAUUACUAAGACAAAUCAGAGCUUCGCCAGCAUCCAGGAACUGUUUUGAGAGGUUAACAGCAUGAGAAUCUUAAACCACCCGAAUGUUGUCAACCUCCUGGAAGUGAUUGACACUGAGGAGACUGUGUUUAUAGUAAUUGAGUUCCUCCGCGGGGCAGACUUGUUCACCCUCAGGGACGCCAAAGACAGAGGCGGAGGCCCAAGGCCAGUUCUGCCAGCUGGACUCGGCUCUGCAGAACUGCUAGCAUCCCGGUGUGGUGCACGGGGACUUGAAGCACCUCCGCCUUGAUGGGAAGAACAACGUCAAGCUCUCCCCGACUUUGGCCUAACAACCAGUGGCACCCAGGAAAGCAGCUAGACACUUUCUGCGGGAGCCCCGCGUUCAUGGCCCCAGAAGGAUUCCUAGGGAUGCCUUAGGCAGGCCCAGCCGUGGACGUGUGAAGCCUCGACGGCGUCCUGUACACCAUGGUAACUAGACGCCUCCUCUUUGGGGGACAAGAUUUCUGGGAGCUCCAGCAGCGUGUGCUUAGAGGGCAGUAGCAUGUGCCCAAAUACAUAUCCAAUCAGAUAAUAGACUUACUCUGAAGAAUGCAAACGCUCAACCUACCAACAGAGGUACUUUAGAUGAUGUUUGCCAGCGUCCAUGUGUGAACAUGGGCCAGGAAGAGCCACUGCCGCCAGCCUGUGAAGAGCACUCCCUCCCAGGUUACCUCCUGGGCAUCGGGCCUCUGCCUCCGUCGUGCGGCCUGUGGCCUCCAGGUGGUAGACAGGUCUCCCCAGUGGACAAAUGCCAUUACUAGAAAGUGUGAGAUGAUCCUGGGCUGGUGGAGGGACCAGAUCCAGGGCUUCGACGUACUCAGUGCUAUUGAUAGCGUGCACGUGAAUGAUCCCUGCAUGGUGGCCCGCGCCAUCGUUGUGAGGCCAGCUUUUUCCUCCGACCUCAACAGCGAAGAACAUACACCUCCCGCCAAGCCCUGAGAUGCCCAUGCUUAAACCCGACUGAAUUUGGGAGACCAUCCAGCAGCAGGAGAACCGGGAGUCAGGGAGAAGGCCAGAGAGCCUGCCACACCCCAACCCUGCCCAGAGGCAAGGACCUUUACCCGCAGCCCAGCCCCCUCCACUCACAACACCCACGAUGCCAGCAGCACCCUAGCCACAGAUCAUGCCACUGACCGCCAGGACACGUGCGGGACCAGGCUCACCUGCGGCAGGCGUGACAGCAGCCACACCCAUGACACCAGCGUUACCCGUGGCACCAGAGACGCCUGUGACACCAUCAGCACCUGCGACAGCUGCGAUACCACAGGUACCAGCCUCAUCUGUGAUGCCUGCACCAGCCGUGACACAAGCUACACCUGGUACACCAGCCCACCUAUGAAGCCCUAAGCACCCAGGAGGCCACUGGGGAAUGCAAUAUUGAUGACACCCGUGACACCCACGAUACCUGCAUCACCAGUGACACCUGCCUCGCACAUGACCCCAGAGGCACCCGUGACCCCAGAGGCACCCGUGGCCCCCUUGGUGACCGCACCAUCCAUGAUACUUCUGCCACUAUCACCCGUGACACCAGGGUCCCUGCGACACUGAGGGCACUCACGGCACCUGUGACUCCUGCAACACCAAUGGCACCCAUGACACCGACGGUAAAGUUGCAGAAGAAAUCCACUGCCUUCCGCAUGUGCCUUGCGCGGCAAGCUCCACUCUUUUUGGGCACCCCGAGAAUAUGUCCCCAGUCACUCCCCGUGGCGUCACCCAGAAAAAGAAGGCAGUGCCUGGGAGAAUCUGGAGAUGUCUGUCUGAGUAUAUUUGUUUGGGCUGCGCAGCAAGAGGGCUAUUAAUAAAGUGCUACCAGAAACAGCCA
ensembl:lncRNA